rnacentral:rRNA from 1 species
AUAACUUCGGAAACCGGAGCUAAUACCGGAUAAUAUAUUGAACCGCAUGGUUCAAUAGUGAAAGACGGUUUUGCUGUCACUUAUAGAUGGAUCCGCGCCGCAUUAGCUAGUUGGUAAGGUAACGGCUUACCAAGGCAACGAUGCGUAGCCGACCUGAGAGGGUGAUCGGCCACACUGGAACUGAGACACGGUCCAGACUCCUACGGGAGGCAGCAGUC